rnacentral:rRNA from 1 species
GAUUGAACGCUGGCGGCAGGCCUAGCACAUGCAAGUCGAGCGGUAGAGAGGUGCUUGCAUCUCUUGAGAGCGGCGGACGGGUGAGUAAUGCCUAGGAAUCUGCCUAGUGGUGGGGGAUAACGUUCGGAAACGGACGCUAAUACCGCAUACGUCCUACGGGAGAAAGCGGGGGACCUUCGGGCCUCGCGCCAUUAGAUGAGCCUAGGUCGGAUUAGCUUGUUGGUAGGUAAAGCCUACCAAGGCUACGAUCCGUAGCUGGUCUGAGAGGACGACCAGCCACACUGGACUGAGACACGGCCCAGACUCCUACGGGAGGCAGCAG